rnacentral:lncRNA from 8 species
AUGUCACAAAAUGACAUUUUAUUAGAGUUUCAGAUGAAGAAUAACAGUAAUCACUGUCAACAAAAGUGUCCUUUUCCUCUCCUUUCCUCAGGCAUGGAGGAGAAAUGCUGUGAUGCUAGACAGAACAUGUCACGUCACGGAGCUCUGGGAGAAACUGUCUAUCUUCAGCUGAUGAAUAAUGCCACAGGGUCUGAACUCAUAUUUAAAAAAGACCCCACUGGUGCUAGUAUAAAGAUAUUCAGCAUGAAAAACAACACAGUGAGCUUCCAUGACUCCAUUAAAGCAAGAUCAGAGUUCUUUAUCAACAACGGGACAUUUAGGAUAUCUAACACAGAAAAGAGUGAUUCUGGUGAAUAUCUCUUAGAAAUCUAUAAUUCACAUGGAACACGUUUGUGCACCGGAGGAGUACAACUGAUAAUUGGAGGAGGAUCUUAUGGGACUGUCAUAGGGUCACUAGUAGCUGUGGUCCUGGUCCUAACCGUGGUAGUGGGAGCUUACUGUAUUCACAAGAGGAGGACACCUCCACAGGCUCCAGGUCAGUGGUGCGACAGAUCUAACAAACAAAGAAUACUAUGUACAGUACACUGAUUGUUACCACAUUCAGUCAGCUCAUGUGACUGUUGUUUCAGUGUUAUUGCUCACUUUAGAACUUUUUAUGUGGGCUUUUCUACUUCACAUAGUGUCGGCAUAGAUACAUUUCAAUAGGGCUAUUUCCAGAUCUACAGAUAGGCCAAGUGCAUGUGAAGUAGGUGAAUCUAUGUGAAUCAACAUUAGUGCUUAAUGCCCCAAUGCAGCUGUUUUUAUAUCAAUAUCAAAUCAUUUCUGGGUAAGAAUUAAGUACCUUACUCUAAUAGAUUGCCAUUCAAAUGGGCAAAAAUAGCGUUUUAGCAAAUCAUUAUUUCAAAAGCAAGAAUUUUGCUAGGACUGCCUGGGACUGGUCUGAGUGGGAAGUGGACAACUGAAAACUAGCUGUUAUUGGCAGAGUGUCAUGACUUCGGCAGAAGUCUGCUCCUCUCCUUGUUUGGGCGUCGUUCGGUGGUCGACGUCACCGGUCUUCUAGCCAUUGCCGCUCCACUUUUCAUUGUUCCAUUUGUUUUGUCUUGUUUCCCCGCACACCUGGUUUUCAUUCCCUAAUCACACUACAUAUAUAUUCCCUCUGUUCCCCCCAUGUCUUUGUAUGGAAUUGUUUUGUUACGUGUUUUGUGUGACGCGCCAGGCUGGUUUUUCCCCCAGGUACCUUGUUUAACCCGAAGUAUGUUUAUUGUUAAACAUUUGAAUUAUUGUGAAUGUGGUCUCGCUUUUCACUUUUGCUAUUUGGCUGGAGGUUUUGACGCAGUUGUGUCCGUCUGUUGUUGCUUCUGCCAAAUAAAGUGUACGCCUGAUCAACUCUGUGCUCUCCUGCUCAUGACUUCUCUACCUGUAGCGCACAACCUGACAGAGAGGUUUGGAACUCUUUUGUUAUUGGUCUAUUAACCAAUUUACCACAUGGUGAGGUCACCAUGGAAAGCCGAAACUCCUGCCCAUGCAAACAUGCUGAAUCGAAUGUCCUGUGUAGAUUGUAUUUUCAACCAGGAAAUUACAUUGAUCAAAUGUUUUCACAAUUUUACAGUGUUAUUUUCAUCAGCUGUUGUAAAAUAUGAUAUAAAACACAGAAAAAACAUGAUUUGGACUGCACUGGGCCAUUAAGUAGGCUUUUGACCCUCAAAGCGUAAUUGUCUACAAAUGAUCUGUGCAGUAGUCAACCCCCCCUCCAAACACUCAUGUCACAUCUCCCCAGUCCCCACAGAUGCUGAUGAGAGUCCAGAACUGGAACAUGCUGACAUCAAUAUUCUAAAGAAGAUGGAGAAACACAGGGAGGUUCCAGAGGAUGUGGAGUAUGGACAGGUAGUAGUAUUGAAGGGUUCCAGACCAACCACAGAGAGAGACAGACCUGAGGGGCGGGAGGAGACUGUGUAUGCUGGAAUACAGCUUGGCCAAUGAGAGAGGUUCUUCAAUGUAGGCCGGGAUAUGAAUGGUUGAUGUUUAGACAUAGUAUUGAUGCUCUGUUGCUUCUUUUUUUACUUUAAAUAAUUUUAUCUAACUUUUCCAUAUUUCUGUACAUAUUUUCAUGAAAUGUAUAUAAACAUCAAACAACUAAACUGUAUACACUUGCCGUAGUGAGUCCUUCUGUUAUUUCAUUGAACGUGUUUAAAGUCUCAACAUACACCCAUACUGACCAUUUCCAUCUACAACAUAUUAUUACA